GAACCAGAGAAGGAGUUUCGGGAAUGAGAAUUUAGUUGCCGGAGAUUCCGGCGGUUUGUGGAUCGGGUCGGGUCGUUUCGAUGAUUCUUCCAUCGGUUUGAGGGUAUUUCCGGGAUGUGGAUAAAUCAAAUCAGAGGCGGAGAUUAAGCUCUACACUUCGGUUUCUCGAUUUUAUAAGACACAUCUUUAGGAGUAAUCAUAACUUGUAGUGGGAGAACUGAUUAUCAGUCGGAGCAGAUUAGCACGAAGUGUGAGAUCAUUGGAACGAUGACGGCGAGGAGGAAGAAGAGGGACCAAGAGAUCAGAGUUUUAAGGCGGCUCGACUGAUCGAACCAGAGAAGGAGUUUCGGGAAUGAGAAUUUAGUUGCCGGAGAUUCCGGCGGUUUGUGGAUCGGGUCGGGUCGUUUCGAUGAUUCUUCCAUCGGUUUGAGGGUAUUUCCGGGAUGUGGAUAAAUCAAAUCAGAGGCGGAGAUUAAGCUCUACACUUCGGUUUCUCGAUUUUAUAAGACACAUCUGUAAGUUUUCUUUCCUUUUGUCGUAUUAAAAUUAAAAUACUCCAUUUAAUAAAAAAGAUGGCCGUUGAAUUUAUAAAAUACUAGUAUUACUGUCCCGUGCUAAGCACGGGUAUACUUUUUGGUGGCUUUUGAAUUAUUUAAAAAAUAAAAUUGUAACGUUUUAAAUCAAAAUUGAAUUUAUUUUAAUUUUUUUUUGCUGAAGCUAGGUAACACCUAGAAAUAUCGUAUUUGCUAUAUUCAGUUUUAUUUGUAUUUGUUUUGUAAAUAGUUCUUCUUUAAAAUAAAUUUAUUGGAAUUAAUAUUGAAAAAUAUAAAACUAACAUGCAUACAAAAUAGUCAAUAUAAUAGACUUAUUUUUCAAGCAAAAUUUUUGUAAGAAUAUGCUAUGUCACAUUAAAAAAGGAUUUGUUAAAUAGUCAAACUAUAACAAACAAAUUUGUAAAUACCUAAAUUGGAUCAUCAUAGUUAUUGAUAUUUUUUUUCCCUCGGUUAGACUCGCAUCGCAUCAUUAGCCAUGAGAUUUGAUUUCAAAGUUACAAAAACAAAAUAGAAAUUCUUAAAGUGUUUUGUUCAAAAAAAAAAAAUUCUUAAAGUGUAACAUAAGAGAAAGAGAGAGAGAGAGCCAGAGAAUAACUAAAGAUAGAAGAUACCACUUGUUUACGGUUUUGCUUGUGUUUUAUGUUUGCUGGGUUCUUUCGCUUGACUUUUUCUUCUUUCCUUUUCAUUUCUGUUUAUAUCGGAUGAAAUAAAUGUAUCUAGUUUCACAAAGAUAAGACAUAUAAAAGAGUUGAGAUGAUUAUGGUUACCUUCGUUGCUGAUAGAGCUUUAACUUUCAGUUAGGAGUAAUCAUAACUUGUAUGGAAUUAUUUUGAUCAGUGGGAGAACUGAUUAUCAACCGGAGAAGAAACAAUGAAGAAGGAAGUAAAAUUAAAUAAGAUAGAAAGGUAAAACAGAAAAACAGUUAUAGAACGUGAUCUUUAUUUUGUAAGUGGGUGAGAUAAUUUAGGGAUUUAGUUUUUUUUUUCAAUUUUUCACGUGAAAUUCCAAAAUCAUUAUUAAUCAAUCUUAUUUGUUUUGUAAAUUUUUGUUUUGCCACAUGUCUAAUUAUGAUUUGCUAGGCGACUUGCGCUUUAGUAUAUAAGGGAUACUGUAAUAGUCUGUCUGUCAUGUCUAUCACGUUUUGACUCUCUUCACCAUGUGUCUUGCAUUUUUAUGUUAUGUAGCCGACAGAUUAUACAAUGAUUGAUUUAUUACGGUAAUUUAAGAAUCUAACUAGUGUUGACAUUUUAUUAGAGACAAAUUAUAGGGCACGUCUCCUUUUUUCCAUUUAUAAUGAGUACUAGAUUUUGACCCGCGCUUUCAAAACGCGGGAUUAUUUUCGAAACAUUCCAAAUUUAUUUGAUAUAAAUUUGUAUUUUAAUUGUAUCUACACUUAGAUAUUACAAAUGAAAAAUUAUAUUCAAUGUUUUGAAAUCCGACCCGACCCGCAGUUAAAUUGCCAAAUUCGGUGGUUCAUAUGUAAUCCAUUUUAGUUUUCAAAAAAAAAACUGUUAUUUAAAAAUUUUGUAAAACCCGUAACAACUGUUAAAACCCGAGAUCUGGUUAUCGGUUGAACUGAUAGAUGACCCAAUAUGUAAUCCGGUUUGAUUUAUUAUUAUAUUUAGAGUAUUGUAAUAUAUAUUUAUGAACGUUCAGAUGAAUAGUGAAUAUAUUAUGAAAUUGAUAUUCCAAUUUUAAUACAAUUUUAGUCCAACUAAAAUUCCAUCUUGUUAAUGGAUUAAUAUUUGAGUAGAUACAUACUAAAAAUAAAAUAGAUUUGAGCAUCAAUAAUAUGUAUACGUCUAUUACAAAUUAAUGAUUUAAGUUU